rnacentral:rRNA from 1 species
UGCUUCGGUAACUGAGCUAGCGGCGGACGGGUGAGUAAAGCUUAGGAAUCUGCCUAUUAGUGGGGGACAACAUUCCGAAAGGGAUGCUAAUACCGCAUACGUCCUACGGGAGAAAGCAGGGGAUCACUUGUGACCUUGCGCUAAUAGAUGAGCCUAAGUCGGAUUAGCUAGUUGGUGGGGUAAAGGCCUACCAAGGCGACGAUCUGUAGCGGGUCUGAGAGGAUGAUCCGCCACACUGGGACUGAGACACGGCCCAGACUCCUACGGGAGGCAGCAGUGGGGAAUAUUGGACAAUGGGGGGAACCCUGAUCCAGCCAUGCCGCGUGUGUGAAGAAGGCCUUUUGGUUGUAAAGCACUUUAAGCGAGGAGGAGGCUUACCUGGUUAAUACCUGGGAUAAGUGGACGUUACUCGCAGAAUAAGCACCGGCUAACUCUGUGCCAGCAGCCGCGGUAAUACAGAGGGUGCGAGCGUUAAUCGGAUUUACUGGGCGUAAAGCGCGCGUAGGUGGUUAAUUAAGUCAAAUGUGAAAUCCCCGAGCUUAACUUGGGAAUUGCAUUCGAUACUGGUUAGCUAGAGUAUGGGAGAGGAUGGUAGAAUUCCAGGUGUAGCGGUGAAAUGCGUAGAGAUCUGGAGGAAUACCGAUGGCGAAGGCAGCCAUCUGGCCUAAUACUGACACUGAGGUGCGAAAGCAUGGGGAGCAAACAGGAUUAGAUACCCUGGUAGUCCAUGCCGUAAACGAUGUCUACUAGCCGUUGGGGGAUUUGAUCCUUUAGUGGCGCAGCUAACGCGAUAAGUAGACCGCCUGGGGAGUACGGUCGCAAGACUAAAACUCAAAUGAAUUGACGGGGGCCCGCACAAGCGGUGGAGCAUGUGGUUUAAUUCGAUGCAACGCGAAGAACCUUACCUGGCCUUGACAUAGUAGAGACUUUCCAGAGAUGGAUUGGUGCCUUCGGGAAUCUACAUACAGGUGCU